rnacentral:rRNA from 1 species
UACAGAGACUGCAAGCGUUAUUCGGAUUCACUGGGCGUAAAGGGUGCGCAGGCGGCCGUAUGUGUGAGGCGUGAAAGCCCGGGGCUUAACCCCGGAAUUGCACCUCAAACUGUACGGCUAGAGCAUUGGAGAGGGUAGCAGAAUUCAUGGUGUAGCAGUGAAAUGCGUAGAUAUCAUGAGGAAUACCAGAGGCGAAGGCGGCUACCUGGACAAUUGCUGACGCUCAGGCACGAAAGCGUGGGGAGCAAAAGGG